GAUGAACGCUGGCGGCGUGCCUAAUACAUGCAAGUCGAGCGAAUGGAUUGAGAGCUUGCUCUUAUGAGGUUAGCGGCGGACGGGUGAGUAACACGUGGGUAACCUGCCCAUAAGACUGGGAUAACUCCGGGAAACCGGGGCUAAUACCGGAUAACAUUUUGAACCGCAUGGUUCGAAAUUGAAAGGCGGCUUCGGCUGUCACUUAUGGAUGGACCCGCGUCGCAUUAGCUAGUUGGUGAGGUAACGGCUCACCAAGGCAACGAUGCGUAGCCGACCUGGAAGGGCGAUCGGCCACGCUGGGAAUGGAACACCGCCCAGACUCCUGCGGGAGGCAGCAGUAGGGAAUCUACCGCAAUGGACGAAAGUCUGACGGAGCAACGCCGCGUGAGUGAUGAAGGCUUUCGGGUCGUAAAACUCUGUUGUUAGGGAAGAACAAGUGCUAGUUGAAUAAGCUGGCACCUUGACGGUACCUAACCAGAAAGCCACGGCUAACUACGUGCCAGCAGCCGCCGUAA
rnacentral:rRNA from 1 species